GAUCUACUUCCUCCGUCUCAUAUUAAGUGUCAAAAUAUUGCAUGUAUCUAGACGCUUUUUAGUUAUAGAUACAUCCAUGUUUAGAAAAAAUUUGAGACACUUGGUAUGGGACAGAGGGAGUACUUG
rnacentral:pre_miRNA from 1 species